AUGGGGUCUCGUGGAAGGAUGUUAUUUGACCUCAAUGAGCUCCCAACAGAAGCUGACGAAGAAGAAGCUGCUGUUGUUGUGUCCCAACCUCAACUUCCUGUUCCCAAUAUGUAUCCCUCAAAUUUGUUUCCACCACAAGAAGUGCCUUGGUCACAAGGGAUAUUAAACAAUCAUGCCUUUAAUCAUGCAUCUUCUGGUUCAGGUUUUCAGCCUUUUGUGAGAAGUACAGAUACACAAAAUGUUAAGAAUUCUAUGAAUACAGAAGAGAAUUUGGAUACUACUGCGGCUUCUACAUCUGUGGUAACUAAUCAUCUAUCUGAUAGUGUUGUGUGUCCUACUGGGCCCUCCAAUCAGGUUCCACAAUCAGUUGAAAGAGAAGAGGGAGAGUGGUCUGAUGCAGAUGGUGCUUCUGACACAGCAGGUAGUAGUGUCAGCAACAAGGAAGAAUCUGCUGGUACUGCAAGUACUCAAGUGAAAAGAGAGUCCCAAGAGAGUGGACCUGCUAUUGUUAAAUGUAGUGAUGUGAUUAAAGAUGACAUUGCUGCUGAACCUGGUGACACUGAAAUGUCUGAUGUGUCUAAAGGUCCAGUCCUUCAUGGUCCGACAGGACUAGAGAGCAUGAAAACUUCUGAAUCUAAAGGAAGUCAACCUGUGGAUGAUUUGGACAAGUGCACUAAGUCAAAGGAUGUCAGAGGAGUAGAAGCCAGUUAUGCAUUGAAGUGCACGAACAACCCUGCGAAGAGACCUAAGUUAGAUGAUCACAAAGUUGCAAUGCUUGGUAAAAAGCGAGCGAGGCAGACUGUGUUCAUCAAUGUUGAGGAUGCAAAACAAGCUGGCACAAUGAAGACAAUUACACCGAGGAGACAGUCAUCUUUUCCAGCACCAAUUGUUACACGUACCGUGAAGGAAGCUUCUCGCGGUGUUGGUGAAAGAGCUGCAGACAAGCAGAGCCAACCAGUCAUCAGGGAUCAGAGACAAUCUGAGAUGAUUGGUUCAGAAAGAAGUAAUUCUGCAGAUCCUUGUGACCAAAAUGGAGAAUCUAAUGGUGAUUUUGAGUUGGGAUCUCACGGCAGGUCAAAGAAAAUGAAUGCCGAAGAACCCCCCUCAGAUAGUUACCAACAAUCUGUGCCAAGGCAGGCCUUUUCAAAGCAGCCCACGGAUUCCAAGCAGUUCAAAGGCAGACCAGUCUCUUCUCAAAGAGCACUUCUAACAGGACAACAUACUGCAGAUCAGAAGCCAGCUAACAAAAGGUCUCUUGUUCCAAAGAAGCAAGCUUCAGUUAAUAAUACACAGUAUAAUGACACAUCUGUCGAACGACUUAUACGGGAAGUGACAAAUGGCAAGUUCUGGCACAAUCCGGAGGAGGAAGAACUUCAGUGUGUUCCUGGAAGCUUUGAUUCUGCCGAGGAGUACAUUAGAGUUUUUGAGCCUUUGCUUUUUGAGGAAUGCAGAGCUCAGCUAUAUAGUUCCUACGAGGAGAGUCUUGAGGCUGUAUCAAGGGACGCACAUGUAAUGGUGCGCGUGAAAAGUGUGGAUAGGCGUGAACGAGGAUGGUAUGAUGUUAUUGUUUUGCCAACACAUGAAUAUAAAUGGACUUUUAAAGAAGGCGAAGUUGCAAUUUUGUCGUCCCCCCGGCCUGGUUCAGCUGCCCAAUCAAGUAGAUCUAAUAGGAAGACCGCUGCUUCAAAUGAAGACGCUGAAGCUGACUGUGGACGGCUUGUAGGUACAGUCAGACGCCAUACGCCUAUUGAUACGCGCGAUCCCAUUGGAGCAAUUAUCCAUUUUUAUGCUGGGGAUUCAUUUGAUUGUAGCAGCGAGACUAAUGUUCUGAGGAAACUGCAACCUCGAAGCACCUGGUAUCUAACGGGUCUUGGUUCCCUUGCAACAACACAAAGGGAAUAUGUAGCAUUGCAUGCACUCCGCCGUCUUAAUGUGCAGAUGCAAAACGCAAUUCUUCAGCCAAGUCCAGAGCACUUCCCAAAAUAUCAAGAGCAGCCGCCUGCUAUGCCUGACUGUUUCACUCCAAGUUUUUCUGAUCAUAUCAAUCGUACUUUCAAUGGGCCUCAGCUAUCGGCAAUUCAUUGGGCUGCAAUGCACACAGCUGCUGGCACAAGCAAUGGAGCGGUUAAGAAACAAGAACCAUGGCCUUUCACAUUAGUACAAGGUCCUCCGGGGACAGGGAAAACCCAUACUGUGUGGGGAAUGUUAAAUGUUAUUCAUCUUGUUCAGUAUCAACACUACUAUGCUGCUCUGCUAAAGAAACUUGCUCCUGAAAGUUACAAGCAAGUUGGUAGUACCACUAACAGCAGCUCGGAGGCUUUUGCUGCGGGGUCUAUUGAUGAAGUUUUGCAGAGCAUGGAUCAGAACCUUUUCCGCACUCUUCCCAAGCUUUGCCCCAAACCACGGAUGCUUGUGUGCGCCCCAUCAAAUGCUGCAACAGAUGAGCUGCUUUCUCGUGUUCUUGACCGAGGUUUCAUAGAUGGUGAGAUGAAGGUUUACCGCCCUGAUGUUGCCCGUGUUGGAGUUGACACACAGUCUCGUGCAGCCCAAGCUGUAUCAGUUGAGCGACGGACGGAACAGCUUUUAAUGAAGGGCCGUGAUGAAGUAAUUGGGUGGUUACAGCAGCUAAAAGGCCGUGAGCAGCAGUUAUCACAGGAGAUAGGGCUUCUACAGAGGGAACUUAAUAUCGUUGCAGCAGCUGGUAGAUCCCAUGGUUCAGUUGGGGUAGAUCCUGAUGUGCUUGCUCACAGGGAUCGUAACCGUGACAUUCUGCUUCAAAAACUUGCUGCCUCUGUAGAAAGCAGGGAUAAAGUACUUGUAGAGAUGUCAAGGCUGCUGAUAUUAGAAAGCAGGUUCCGUGUUGGCAGCAACUUCAAUCUGGAAGAUGCUAGGUCUAAUCUAGAAGCCAGUUUUGCCAACGAAGCAGAAAUUGUUUUUACAACAGUGUCAAGCAGCGGGCGCAGAUUAUUUUCUCGCCUUAGUCAUGGUUUCGAUAUGGUUGUUAUUGAUGAGGCUGCUCAGGCCAGUGAAGUAGGAGUCCUCCCUCCACUUGCACUUGGUGCCGCUAGAUGUGUCUUGGUAGGUGAUCCACAGCAGCUCCCUGCUACUGUUAUUAGUAAAGCGGCUGGAACUUUACUCUAUAGCAGGAGCCUUUUUGAGAGGUUUCAGCAGGCUGGUUGUCCUACCAUUUUAUUGUCAGUGCAAUAUCGGAUGCAUCCCCAGAUCCGAGAGUUUCCAUCACGAUACUUCUAUCAAGGCUGCCUUACAGACAGUGAAAGUGUUGUCAAACUGCCUGAUGAGUUGUAUUACAAAGAUGCAUUAAUGGCACCUUACAUUUUUUAUGACAUCUCACAUGGUCGUGAGUCUCAUAGAGGUGGAUCAUCUUCAUACCAGAAUGUUCAUGAAGCUCAGUUUGCAUUGCGUUUAUACGAGCAUCUUCAGAGGCUUGUGAAAGUUAAUAGUGGUAAGAAGGCAUCUGUUGGUAUAAUCACUCCAUAUAAGUUGCAGUUGAAGUGUCUUCAGCGGGAAUUUGAGGAGGUCAUGAAUACCGAGGAAGGGAAAGAUAUCUACAUAAACACAGUAGAUGCUUUUCAAGGCCAGGAGCGUGAUGUGAUUAUCAUGUCAUGCGUGCGUGCUUCAAACCAUGGCGUGGGUUUUGUUGCAGAUAUACGGCGCAUGAAUGUUGCUCUUACUCGAGCUAGGAGAGCUCUAUGGGUUGUUGGUAAUGCCAGUGCUCUCAUGCAGUCAGAGGACUGGGCGGCGCUGGUAGCUGAUGCAAAGGCCAGGAAAUGUUUCAUGGACUUGGAUAGCAUCCCCAAGGACUUUCUGGCCAUGAAGAUCUCUUCCAACACUCCAGGAAGGAAUUCUUCGAACAACCCAAGGAACUUGAGGACUGGUGGACCAAGACCCAGGCAUCUGGACAUGCUUCCGGACCCCAGGAUUGGCAUGAGGGCUGAUGAGGAUGAGCGUCCUAACUCUGUUCCAAGAAAUGCUAGUUACCGGAAUUUGGAUGACCUGGGACGCUCUGGUGAUAGAUCUAGGGAAAGUUUGCAGUUUGGAGUGGCCAAGAGGCCGAAUUCAUCCAAUGGUUCUCGGAGAGAAGUCUGA
rnacentral:rRNA from 1 species